rnacentral:rRNA from 1 species
UACAGGGGGUGCAAACGUUGCUCGGAAUCAUUGGGCGUAAAGCGCACGUAGGCGGAUUGCUAAGUCAGGGGUGAAAUCCUGGAGCUCAACUCCAGAACUGCCUUUGAUACUGGUGAUCUUGAGUCCGGGAGAGGUGAGUGGAACUGCGAGUGUAGAGGUGAAAUUCGUAGAUAUUCGCAAGAACACCAGUGGCGAAGGCGGCUCACUGGCCCGGUACUGACGCUGAGGUGCGAAAGCGUGGGGAGCAAACAGG